rnacentral:rRNA from 1 species
UACGUAGGGUGCAAGCGUUGUCCGGAAUUAUUGGGCGUAAAGAGCUCGUAGGCGGUCUGUCGCGUCUGCUGUGAAAACUCAGGGCUUAACCCUGAGCUUGCAGUGGGUACGGGCAGACUAGAGUGCGGUAGGGGAGACUGGAAUUCCUGGUGUAGCGGUGGAAUGCGUAGAUAUCUGGAGGAAUACCGGUGGCGAAGGCGGCAUCCUGGACCGGCAUUGACGCUGAGGCGCGAAAGCCAGGGGAGCAAACGGG